UCAGAUUGUAGCUUAUGGUUAAAGCUUGUUAUUUACAUUAAUAUGAAGAUGAUUUAUUCUAUCUGAUC
rnacentral:tRNA from 1 species